CAGGUGCACACGGUUUUCUGCACGCGUUGCCAACACUGCACAGCGGGCGGCACAGGAGUGUGCCGGAAGAAAAAAAAGGCGCACACACAGAGGCCGAAAGAGGUGCCGUGUGACACGUGCAGAGGUACACAGUGACCGGCGCUCAUGCCAAAAGGUUCGACGUGAGCGCAGAAGUAUGGAAGACCGCAACUCUGUGGCGUCCAGCGUCUUCUUCACCGGUGUGUCUCUCGUCAUCGAGAAGGAGAAGCUGCGUCAACAUUUCGAGUCCGUCGGCCAUGUCGUGAGCUUCACCAUCUUCGGCCCGGCGCCAGGGAAGGACUUCCGCUAUGGCAUCGCCGGAUACAUGGAUGAAAAGACAGCGGAGGAGGCUAUUCGCCGCCUUGAUGGCACCACCUUUGGCGAGCGUGCGAUGCGGGUGACGGCGGCGCGCAGCACCACACUUCACGGACCUUUGCGUGCAGGCCCCGGCGGCGGCGGCAGUGGACCCGCUGACCAUUCCACAUUCCGCAAGCGACCGCGAGAGCCGUAUCCGUCUCCGAACUCAUCGCGUCCGCCUUAUGGUUCUGGAAUGGGCCGUGGCGGUGGCAUGCGUGCUCCGAUGGCGCGUGUUCCAUUCUCUUCACAACCGCAACAGAAACAGGAGCAGUCACAGCAGCUAACCACAGACAAGGCCGGACGAGAGACGAUGCAGUUCCCGCGCUUCUACACGGAUCCGAUUCUCGGCCGCGACGGCUCCCUCGUACUUGACGCGUUGCGCGGCAUGGCCACGGAGGAGGCGUAUUCGGCUGUGGAGCAGCUGCGCGUGCUGGCGUUGGAGCGUCCAAACGAGGCAAAGCGUUUGCUACACAACAACCCGGCGCUGAAGUCGGCGGUGAUCAUGACGCUGCAACACGCCGGGCGAAUCCCACUAGGCUCGCUGCCUCGUGCUGCGUACCAGUCGCGAAGGGCUGCGGAGGCAGAGGCGGAGCUAGCGCAGCCACUGUCACCCCAGCAGCCGACGCCGUCGCAUCAACCCCCCUUGCCAACACCUCAGCAGACGCCCCAGCAACCCCCGGCAGAGUCGCCAACGCCGGCCAAGAAGGAGGCGAAGUCGGCGGCCAAAAGUGGCGAGGCGCGUGGUGCCCGCAAGCGCGAUACCGCCACCGAGAGCGCUUCUUCGUCGGCGGCUGCCCCCUCCGGGUCCCAGACGUCCCUUGUGCCACCAUCGACCCCGAUGACGGAGGCGGAGCGCGAUGAAGUACUGGAGCUCAUCCAAAGCAUGAGUGAGGAAGAUGUGGAACGGGUGCUGACUAUGUCGGCGCGCGACUUCGCGCAGGUGCCGGAUCCAGCGCAGCGGAAGCAGUUGGAGGUGCUCCAGAAGCGCCUCUUGGAGAUGUCUCAAGAUUUAUGACGUCAAAAAGAGUGCUGGGAGGCGGCGACUGUACAGGUGUGGAGGAGCUGCGGGAGUUAAUGAGGGUGGAGAGAGGCAAAGACACGUCCUUCCCCUCCCCAUGCCAUGCGCUUCAGUCUAUAGGGUCGCUUUCACCGACUUGUUUUUUUUUUUUUUUUCGGGAUGUGUAUGGAAGGCGUGAAGGCUCGCCUGCUCGUGCGAGUACGUGUGCAUGUGUGCGCGUGAGGUCGAAGGAGAAGAGGUGCGGGUGGGGAGGGGUGUGGAUGUGAAUGCCCGUUGGCAGCCUCAACGCGUGCCUCCCGCGUCCCCUUUUCUCCUAUUUGAGAGCAUGUUGUGUUGCCUUAGCAGCGAG
rnacentral:misc_RNA from 1 species